rnacentral:lncRNA from 1 species
GCCCCCGGAUGACGUAAAAGGAAAGAGACGGAAGAGGAAGAAUUCUACCUGAGUUUGCCAUAAAGUGCCUGCCCUCUAGCCUCUACUCUUCCAGUUGCGGCUUAUUGCAUCACAGUAAUUGCUGUACGAAGGUCAGAAUCGCUACCUAUUGUCCAAAGCAGUCGUAAGAAGAGGUCCCAAUCCCCCACUCUUUCCGCCCUAAUGGAGGUCUCCAGUUUCGGUGCUGGAAGCCCAGGAAGCACACAUCAAGGCUCCCUUGCCAGCAGGGUGCUGCCAAUAAAAGGUAGUCACGUGGAAUUUGGAAUGUGGAAAGGAGGUAGAAGUCAUCCUUUCCUCCCCUGUAGCAGCAGGCGUGCAGGCUCUGGUGGUCAGCUGGACUCCAUACUCCCCCACCAGUCACCAGCCUGGGGACCGUGGGGCUGCAAGGACCUCAGCAGCGGUGUCCCAAGUUUCCUGACUUCUUCCAUCCUCUGGAAAUCAGCUGUGGUAAAGUAGCCUGAAAGCCAGUGGUACAACCCCCUCCCCACAACCUUCACCACCUCUAGCCCCUCCAAUGAAAAGCACUAAUUGCCUAUAUACAACCCCUUUUUGUUUGAAAUAUCUAGAGUAAUUUCUGUUUUCCUAUCUGGGGUAGUGUAACGUAAGAAGAAAUAUACAUUUGGUCUCUGCCCCCGGUUCCUAACACAAAGCUCCUAAAACCCUUGGAAAUUCCUGAAAGAUGGGGGUGCUAGGAGCAUUGUCUUUUUUUUUUUUUAAAUUUAUCAUUUUUCUUUUCUCCCAGGUGUUUUUUCCUUUUUUUUUUUUUUAACUUUUAUUUUAGAUUAGGGGAUACAUGUGAACGUUUGUUAUAUAGCUAAACUUGUGUCACAUGGGUUUGUUGUACAGAUUAUUUCGUCACCCAGGCACUAGGCCUAAUACCCGAUAGUUUUUUUCUUUUUUUUUUUUGAGAUAGAGUCUCGCUCUGUUGCCCAGGCUAGAGGCACGAUCUCGGCUCACUGCAACUUCCGCCUCCCAGGUUUACGCCAUUCUUCUGCCUCAGCCUCCUGAGUAGCUGGGACUGCAGGUGCCUGCCACCACGUCCAGCUAAUUUUUUAUGUUUAGUAGAGAUGGGGUUUCACCAUCUUGGCCAGGCUGGUCUCGAACUCCUGACCUUGCGAUCCACCCACCUCGGCCUCCCAAAGUGCUGGGAUUACAGGCGUGAGCCACCGUGCCUGGCCAGUACCCAGUAGUUUUUUUGGCUCCUCUCCCUCCUCCCACCCUUCACCCUCAGGUAGGGCCCAGUGUCUGUUGUUCCCUUCUUUGUGUUUAUGAGUUCUCAUCAUUUAGCUCCCACUUAUAAGUGAGAACGUGUGGUGUUUGGUUUUCUGUUCCUUUCUUAGUUUGCUGAGGAUAAUGGCCUCAAGAUCCAUCUGUGUUCCUACAAAAGAGAUGAUCUUGUUCUUUUUUAUGAUUGCACAUCUUUUGUUCUAACGUUUGGUCCUUCACCUUGGUUCCUGACACAAGGAUUCCUAAAUCCCUUGGAAUUUUCUGCAUGAUAGGAGCGUCCUUUGUUCUCAUGAGGUGACUCUUGGUGGGCUCCUUAUUUGGGGACUGGUCACCAAAAAUACCUAACUAUGGUUGGAAGCUUAGUGCUUUCAGCCCCAUUCCCCAUCCUCUGGGGUGGGGAGCAGAGCUGGAGCUCGAUCAUGCCUGCGUGACAAAGCCUCCAGAAAAAUCCUUGAAAGACAGGACAUGGAGAGCUGCUGGGUUGGCGAACACAUCCAUGUGCCGGGAGGAUGGUGCACCCCAACUCCACAAGGACCCUUCCAGACCUCACCCUGUGUAUCUCUUCAUCUGGCUGUUCAUUUGGCUCAGUCCUUUGGAUGUUAAUCCACCUGGGCUGGUGCACCUAAAUA